AAUUCCAGCGAGAGGCAGAGGGAGCGAGCGGGGCGGGCCGGCUAGGGUGGAAGAGCCGGGCGAGCAGAGCUGCGCUCCGGGCGUCCUGGGAAGGGAGAUCCGGAGCGAAUAGGGGGCUUCGCCUCCGGCCCAGCCCUCCCGCUGACCCCCCAGCCAGCGGUCCGCAACCCUUGCCGCAUCCACGAAACUUUGCCCAUAGCAGCGGGCGGGCACUUUGCACUGGAACUUACAACACCCGAGAAAGGACGCGACUCUCCCGACGCGGGGAGGCUUAUUCUGCCCAUUUGGGGACACUUCCCCGCCGC
rnacentral:other from 1 species